CACCGGUCUUGCCCGGCCCUUGCUAUGCAAUGCUUUUUAUGCAUCACGACAGCCAGAUUUGUAACCUGGCACUCGAGGUCCCCUUAUCGCCGUUGCCGGCAUUGUAAAGUUUUCGCGCCUGCUGCACCCCGUAGGGCCUGGAUUCGUGUCUCAGAAUCCAUCUCCGGGCUCUUGCUCUCACAACCCGUACCCGUCGUAGGCUAGUAGGUACGCUACACCCACUACUACCUGAUAGGCCGCAGACCCAUCCUCUGGCGCCGGAGCUUUCGAUCUCGGGGCAUUCCAGCGACCGAGAUCUAUCGGGGAUUAUACCCAGUUUCCCGGGUUUAUACCCGUCCGGAGGGUAGGUUGUCCACGUGUUACUGAGCAGUACGCCAUGUAUUGCUACAUUCGACUCGCAUGGCUUAGUCGAACCUCGAUAG
rnacentral:rRNA from 1 species